rnacentral:rRNA from 1 species
CUACGGGAGGCAGCAGUGGGGAGUAUUGCACAAUGGGCGCAAGCCUGAUGCAGCAACGCCGCGUGAGGGAAGACGGUUUUCGGAUUGUAAACCUCUGUCUUUGGUGACGAAGAAGUGACGGUAGCUGAUGAAGAAGCCACGGCUAACUACGUGCCAGCAGCCGC